rnacentral:snoRNA from 1 species
AUUGAGGUCUAUCCCGAUGAGGCUUCCAUACUAUAGCCACACAUCGUUGGAAAUGCCUCAUACAGUAAUUGUGUGGUUUUGCUUUACUCACAGGGCCUUU